ensembl:lincRNA
GGGAGAAGCAGAGCAGGGGGCCGACACGGGGCUUAUGCCCAGGACCUCGGGGUCAUGAUCUGAGCUGAAGGAAGAUGCUUCACCACCCAAGCCCCCCAGGCCCCCAUGGGAGGGUCUUCCGAUAUGCCCUGGGCCCCCCUGCCAUUCAGGGACCCCCUAGACCACCCGCUGGCUCCCUCAUUCGCUAGAAGGACUCAGAGCUCAGCCAAGCCCUAUGCUCCCGGGAGGACAGUCCAUUACAGAGGAAGGACACAGGCGGAAAUCAGCAGAGGGAGGAGGUAUGUGGGGCCGGGGCCAGGGCCAGAGAGACCAGGGCCAGGAGUCCUCUCCCCGGGGAGCUGCGUGGACGGAACUCAGCUGUUCAGAACGACAGCAGAACGUGCACAGUGUGUUGCUGAUCACGGCGCGCCCCUGAGCCUUGGCGCCCGUCUUUCCUGGGUCUCAGGCAGCCCUGAGCACACGGUGGCUGACCUCAGCGUGCAACCCCUCCAGAGUCGACCGGGUACCAUGCAGCCCACGGCCCCCAGGUCAAUGAAGAUGCUCUGUGGACAGGCCCACCCCCGGACAGGACCUCCCAGGAGCCACGACCAGACUUUUAUUUCUUGGACAAGGUUGAGAAUCUGUCUCUGAGAACCUGAAGCUUUUCCUGCUGAUUCUCACUAUUCUCCCAGCAAACUACCACCCGAGAAAGUUCCGGAAAGAGCCCCACGGGAGGCGUCCCUGCUACAGCGAAGCAGACCUCACCCACCCCGACCAGGUAAGGCUGCCGCUGGUCGGAGCUGUCCUGGGAGUCUGGGUUUGCGACAGAAGAACGCUUCGUUGGCACGAGGGACGGGCGGGGUGGGGUGGUUCUGCCGGCUCAGGUGUGAGGCUUGCUGUGGCUUUGAGGGGCUUAGGGGGCGGGAUGGGGAGCGUCGGCAGAUCCCUGGGAAUCUGUACGGGGUACCUGCCGUCUGUGACCUGAAAUCCAUCAGCCCGGCUGAUGGACGGGGAAGCUGGACGGGGUGUGGGGUCCACCAUUUGGUGUCCGUGCGAGACGCGGAGGCUGAGGCCAGGUCUGACCGUCCCCUGCCCAGGUCUCCCUGCAGCCAGUGAGCGGUGCUCAGGGCUCCACGGGGUUCCCGAGGGGACUGCCUGAUUCCCUCCGUCCCACCUCAGCUGUGUCAGCGGGUGACCGGCAGACCGCUGCCGGCUCGGGGCCCGUCCCCCUUCAGGUCACCCCGUGUCAGACGCCAGCCGCAAGUCUUGGGGGCCGCUUGCACUUCUGACGUACCGGCUACAAAUUCCCAUGACCUUCGGGUUUGAUAAUUGGCUAGCAUGACUCUCAGAACCUGAGAGCCAUACCUGUGGCUGCGUUUUUAUAAUAAAGGACAUGCAUAGGGUGAGGUCUGCUCUCCCCGUGCAGGGUUCGGACACGUCCCCAUCCUAGCAUGUCCACGUGUUCACCUGUCACCAACCUCCCUGAGCUUUGGGCGUCCAGAGUUUUCCUGGAGCCCUAUUACUUCAUUGGUCACAAGACUGGACCCUGUCUCCUGCCCCUCUCUGUCCCCUGAGGGGGACGGGAAGACUCAGCUUUCUAGUCGGUGCCUCUCUGUCAAAGAACCCUGAGCCCUGAGCCACCCAGUUAGCGGGAAGUCAGGUAUGGGAGUAACAGGUGACAGGAAUUCCAGAGGCCAGGGACAAAACCAGAUGCGGUCUGGUUCCCCUCACCAGGAAGCUCCCUGCGGAGACACUGCCCCAAACUAGAGGGUCAGGCUCGUCGGAGGCAGGGCGGGAACAACCCAAGCCCAAGUCCCGCCGUCCUCCUAGUGCACUGACCCUUUCCUGGGCGGAGCACACGAUGCCGGUGAGAAAUCUGGGCAGGAGGCCGAGGACACAGGCUGGUCCCUCCAGUACUCCUUGAAAGAGCGAGUGCACAGAAUCAGAUUCUCCUCCAGGCACGGGCUCUUCCGGGUGUGCGCUGCUCCUCUCCGCCUCCGGCUGUUUGGGUCUCUCCUUCAGUGGGCUGAUGCUCACGGACCUGUCGCAUGCUGUCACUCAGCCGUCCUCGCGCACCCCCGAUGCGCGGAGCCAGCGGUGCAGGCCGGAGACAGGGGGAGACCAAGCCAAGCCCUCGCCGUUUGCUUCCUGGUGGGGCGAACACAUCUAUAGAGUAAGGUCAGGUAGUGCCGAGGCUCUGAGGAAAGGUGCUAGGAGGCGAUCGCCGUGGUGGAGGCUGUUCUCCCCAGGACAUUCCCCGGCAGGCCCCAGAGCCUGCUGCUCUGGGCAGAGGCUGUUGGAGCAAGGGUGGGAACCAGCCGCCGAGGCUUGGGGAGAACGGUUCAGGCAGAGGGUCUGGUGAGUGCAAAGGCCCCGAGGCAUGUUGGAGAAGCAGCCAAAAGGGCUGGUUUGGGGGCACCUGGGUGGCUCAGUGGGUUAAGCCUCUGCCUUCAGCUCAGGUCAUGAUCUCAGGGUCCUGGGAUCGAGUCCCGCGUCAGGCUCCCUGCUCAGUAGGGAGCCUGCUUCCUGCUCUCUCUCUGCCUGCCUCUCUGCCCACUUGUGAUCUCUCUUUGUCAAAUAAAUAAAACCUUUAAAAAAAAGGGGGGGGGGGACUGGUUUGCUAGGGUCCUGUGGGGGAGCAGGGUAGAAGGUGCGGGGCCUAAAUCAGAAGCUUUUAGGCCAGGAAUAAGGGUUUGGGAGCUUGUCUUAAAGACUGCAGGAGCCAGGGAAGGGCUCUGAGCGAAGGAGGGGUUUGAGUUGUACGCAGAUAACGCUGCCUUCUGUGUAGGGAACACGCAGGGCGGGAAGUCAGAGCGGGAGCAGGGAGCCUCAAGGAAGCUGCUGCUUGUCGUGGGGUGGGGGCGGCUGUACCGUGGACGCGGGAUGAGAAUGGCGGGCCCGGGGACAUGCCAGGGGCGAGAACUUUAAACAACCACCCUUCUACACUGAAAUGGCUCUGUCACCCCAUCGCUAAACCUUCAGGGGCCCCUGAGAGAGCCUGCAGGGGAAGAUCACACUGCCCAGGCUGCCCUGUGACAGGAGCCACGGCAUACGCUGGCUGGGGAGAUCGCAACCCCACGGGACCGUCAGACUCCUUUAGACUCCUUCCGGGGAUCCUGUGAUGAUACCAUAAAACCACCUAUAGGGGGCACAUGGCUUGGGCCUGGCCUCAGCGGGGGGCCAAGCCCCCUGGGAUCAUGUGCCAGCCCCUAAAUCUCAGGAUCCUGGGUCUAAGCACAAGCCCGCGAUGCCCUGCCCCAGAGGAAGGGCUGAGAGCUCCCACCUCCUCGGGCAGGGACCCCUUGGAAGACGCUUUCCCCUGAAGGAGAUCGCAGGGUCCAGCCUCAGGGGAAAAGGUCAGUUCUUGGGGUUGUCAAAGCCAGAAGCUGAUGGCAGCUCUGGGGAAUUCGGGGCCUAGGGGCUGUGCAAGCUGCUGUCUACCGGGAGCCGCCCCCUCUUCCGGCCCCUCGCUGAUCCGAAGGCAGGCUCUGACCUGGUGACCGGGCAGUGGGCAUGUGCACCUCCUUCCUCCCCGCGGGUCCAGGGUCCGGGAGAGAAGGCACCAGAGGAAGGCUCUGGAGUCCCCGUCGCACCCGGCAGUAUGAAGCCUGCAGAGGAAGCCCAGCUGUAUUUUGCCUUUUCAUCCGCUUCAGGCAGGCAGUGGGUCUGGGGCGGGGGAGGCCAAGCAAACCGAGCUGUGGUCGGGGGCCUGCUGGCUCCUGAGCCCUGCGGAUGCCCUCCCGCCUGUGGCGCGGCCCACCCCAGUCUCCGCUCUUCUGGAGGGGGACACACAUGGGCUCCAGAGGGAGCCACGCCUGCCCCCGGGCGCCCCAGAGCACGGGGCUCUGAUGUCUGGAAAGAAAGUCAGGGAGAGGGCCCGGCCUGCCAUCCGUGCCCCCGGCGCAGCCCUCCCCCGG